rnacentral:rRNA from 1 species
CCCGAAAGGGUUGGGUGCCCGCAAGGGACGGCUGCAUAGGUGCUGCAUGGCUGUCGUCAGCUCGUGUCGUGAGAUGUUGGGUUAAGUCCCGCAACGAGCGCAACCCUCACCCCUAGUUGCCACCGGGUAAAGCCGAGCACUCGAGGGGAACUGCCAGCGUCAAGCUGGAGGAAGGCGGGGAUGACGUCAAGUCAUCAUGCCCCUUACGCCCUGGGCUACACACGUGCUACAAUGGCCGGUACAGAGGGAUGCGAGACCGCGAGGUGGAGCUAAACCCAAAAAGCCGGUCUAAGUUCAGAUUGCAGUCUGCAACUCGAACUGCAUGAAGGAGGAAUCGCUAGUAAUCGCGCAUCAGCACGGCGCGGUGAAUACGUUCCCGGGCCUUGUACACACCGCCCGUCACACCACGAAAGCCGGCUGUACUCGAAGUCGCUG